GGCAUCUCGAAGGCUGAAGAGGGUGUAGCUGCAGCAGGCCAUCAGUGAAAUGAACACUCGGGCAAAAAGCCGAAGGCGGUCAGCAGCACGAAAUCGCGCAGGCUAAGCCAAGCCAAGAAGAAGGCAGGGGCUCCGGCCGGCGGGGGAAUGUGGCAAUCAACAGACUGGGGUAGAGGUUUCUGGGAGGAAGCCCACACCGGGAAGUGCUCUUCGCGGCCCGAUGUAGCAAGUAUGCGGGCCGGUGACACAGCCCGAUCACCGCCAAUGUGUGCCUUAAAAAGAGUCAGACUGCAUGGAAAACCUGUUCUUCUGCAGACCUCACUGCUUAGGAGAAGGUGAAAUUUAAGGGGAAAAAAACCGAGUGAGUCAAUUCACAGGGAGCUACUGAGUCAACAGCAGUCUGCACAGCAUGGCCGCGGCAGCGGGGUGCAGACGCUGUCUGAGAAUGAUUGUUCCUUCCUGCGCCUGCACCUUUACCCCUACCAACCUCCUCCAGCUGCCUCCCCACGACUGGGACCUCUCUGCGGGGAGAGGAGAUGAUUCACAGGGCAGCACCUCUCUUAUUUUUAAUUAUCCUAAUCUUUUAACCAUCUGUUUUGUUUUGCGAUGUAUCUGACCUUGGUACAGCAAUACAAAUAUGUGUAAUUUACAAUAAAUGCAUCUAUAUUGGG